GGUUGCACUGGUAAGAAACAGUGGUGCCGUAGCUGAACCUGUGUGGGCCACUGGCACGGACUUGACGAAUGCUGUUUUCUUGGUGCCCAGGAUCUGUGCAGUUGAUGACUGUAAGGGAAUGGGACCAUCAGACACAGAAACCCGGAUGUGAAGAUUUUCUUAUGCUUUUAAAUGAGAAUUCCUAAGUCCCAACAGGCAUGCCUUCCCAGUAGGGCAGAAUUUCCAGACCAAAACUGGUAGCACAGAGCCGAUCCUGCCUGGGAGGGUGAGCUGGUCCUCAGGCUGCUCUACGUCCUGAUCACCGACCUUGAUCACCUGGUUAAGGGAUUCAUUCUUCCACGUCGGCUAGACUCCACGUCCCUUGGAGAAGCCUUGCCAUCUCCUCCCAGACUGGUUAGCCUCUCCCUCUGCAGUGCUCUCCUGCACAGACCUCUACUGCUAACUUUAUCUGCCUUGAUGAUGCCCCCACUGCUCUGUGCUCCAGGACACAAUGGGGCUUGGUCCAUGGGGUCCUGGAUUCUGUCAUGUGGUAGCAUCGACUGCACCAUCAUCAUAACGACAGCAAGAGCAUCUGCUGCACGCCUCUCUCAGGCACUGUUUGGACUACUUUGGGUCCGGAAGAGCAUUUAUUUAAUCCUCACAAUUCUCCGAAGUAUCUGCUUCUUGUAGAGGAGGAAACAGACUUAGGCAGCAGAAUAUAAGCUUCUUUGGGGCAGGAACCACAGCCUUUUAUCUUCAUACUGCUACAAUACCUGGCAUGAAUGUUGAACACGUGAAUGAGUGGAUACUCACCUGGACAAAGGCAACUUUUUAAUGAGAUGAUAAGACACUGAGAAGUACUUCCUUAAAGGAGUAAGGCAUCUCUCCAGCUCCUGAUUCUAGGGCUCGAGAUAUUACAGAUCCUCAAUAUAUGCUCACUGAAAGAAUGAAUUAAUUAUCAAUGAGGACACCCACAUUUGGAAGUGAUUGGUCCUGGGAUGAACCCAAGAGAUGAGGAGGAUCUGAGCCACCUGUCACCCCCUUUCCAAGUGCUCCUCACCUUGACAGAGAGGAAUGGCCUCGCUCCACAGCAGCUGCCAGGAACCCCCCAGAAGCUGCCGGAACCUCCCCGACAGCUGCUGUAAGGUUCCUCUUUCAUCCCAAGGACACUGAAGCCUGGAGAGGGCACUGCGCUGGGUGUUCUUUCCUCUGGAGCCCUAAAGCAAUGCUCCCGGAUGUCACUGUCAACCUACAGGAGUUGUCAGAGGAAGAAAGCUCUAUGGGGAGCAGAUAUUUCACAGAGCAAGAAAGCAUGAAUAGUUAAUGAAGAUAUGAAAGGAUGCUCACCUCAUCAUUAACAUAAGAGUGAAAUGCUAUUUCAUGCAUCCACCGUAUUGGCAAAAAUUUAAAAAUCUGAUAAAAUCCAGUGUCUGUAAGAUGGAGCCAGGAAUAAAGUCAAGCUCCAGUUCAAAUACAUGUAAUGCUCUGCAAACUGUAACAUGGAGGAUUACUCUUUAGAUGGGACACAAGCCCACAGAGAACUUUCUUUAAGUUUUUCAAUGCUGUUUCCACUGUAACAAAAAUGAGGAAGUAUCCAGAUCCAUAACUUUGGACUUUUAGAAGAAAACUGGCUGGCUGUCGAGAAGGACAAGCCCACCCUGAAUUGUUCAUGCUCCUCCUGCUUGAAUUCUCCAUGACUUCACUUGUGCACAGUACUUCCUGUGAGGUCAGCAGAGACCCUGGAUUCCUUUGGAGUGGGACAACCCUCUAGAAGGUGCUAAGGGACAAGCUGGGGAACAAGUAAGUGGGUUACCCAGCCAGUGAGUUGAUGUGAAUGAGUGGAAUGAGAAGCCUCAUCCUGCUGCCUCUAAGCUUGGACUCGGCACCAAGAUCAGUGCCGUGUACCUCUCUACCCUAGUAGUGUGGAGGUCUGUGCUGGGGGAUUUCACGUAGGUUAACACAUUUAACUCUUAUAACUCUGAGGACACUGAGGCUGAGAAGCUAUGUAACUCAUUCAGAAUCACGAGACCGGGAAUGGUGGA